rnacentral:tRNA from 1 species
GCCUGGGUAGCUUAAUGGUAGAAGCGCUAAUUUGAAGCAUUGGAGAAAUGAGUUCGAUUCUCUUUCUGGGCA